GCCUGCGUUACUCCCAUGAGUUCACGUGUCCUAAGUGUGACAUGGAUUUGAAAGUCCGUCUUAUCUGAUUCACAGCUUCUGUAUGUCUUCCCUUCUUCCCUGCAGUAAAGGCAGAAGAAGCAGUGAGCACGGGUUUGGGGAGGUUUCAGGCUUGGCUGCCUGGCCGGAUUCAUCUGUGUUGCUCUACUCCCAUCUACUGCUAAGAGGCUGCUACUUCUCCGGGAACGCUCCUUGUCUGCCCUCUCCAACAUCCAGGAGUCUAGAGCGUGAGGACCCACUGCUAUUCUCUUUAAUCAAGUCGAUGCAUCACCUCCACUGAUUACCCCUCCAUCAAAUGCUGGAAAUCUGACAGCAAGCUUCCCUGUGCAGGCUGGCUAAUUAAGGACUUGGUUGUUCUACCUACAGCCUUGGAGAGAAGGGGAUGGCAGAGCUGCCCCAAAGAGGUGGCCUCUUUAUGGAGAAGGGUCCUGGAAAGAGGUCAGUGGUAAUUACCAAGCAGGAGAACAGUCCAUGUACACGUUGGACAUUAUUGGUCCAUAAAACGUCUGGAGAUUUAUAGCAGAAAACAGAAGUCGUGUGUGUUGAAUGUCAAACUGAACGAAAUUAGCCCGGCGCGAUAAACUGGAGAACAGUGGGCCCUGUUGGGACCGCAGGGAGGAGCCCAUGAAAAGAGCUUGGGCCAUAGACGUGGGGUAUGUAUACCCAGCUCUCCCACCCGGUGGCUCUGUGACUUGUUCAAAUAACACUAAGGUUAUGUCCUAUGCCAGCUGAACUUUACAAGUUCACCUCCAGGAAUCUGUGAAAAAGAAAGAGGGAAUUUAAAGAUGGAAUGAGAUUCUACCUACUGUCUCACUCCGUAAGUGCUUGUCCCAGAGAAAGCGGGAGAUAGACCACAGAACUCUGCCAUCUCGGGUUCUUCUUCACACCCAGGAGAUUCCGGUGAUAAAAUUCUUCACUUUUUUCAUACAUCACGCACUGCUAAUUGCUGGCCAACUUCUUUGUCUGAUGUUCAGUUGAAGAAAUAGUGGCUUAAUGCAAGGCAGGAAGGAAAAUGUGUUUUGUAGAUUUACGCACAGUCUAAUAUGUGGGUCUCCAAUGUAGCAAUGGCCUGGAAGAAUUUCAGGGUGUCUCGACUGGAUGGAGUUGUCACUUUUCAUGUUGACUUUGGGACCCAGCCCCACCUAAGCUGCUUCUCCAUUACGUUCAAGUCUCUAAGCCCCAAUUUUCUUUCCAUAAGGCAAAGUUAGUAGAAGUGCCUUUCUCUUGAGAGGACUAAAUGAGAGGACUUGAAUAAUGCCCAGCAAACACGAGGUGACUUUCACCCCUUUUUCAUGGACAAUCUGGAGACCUGGAUGAGGAUCAAGGCUCUGACACUUGGUCACCAACCCCUACCCUUUGGGCCAUGGUUUAUUCAUUUGUGAAAUGAGCUAGUUGCAUAUGACAAGUUCAAAGGUGCCUUCCAGCCCUUUCCUUGCUCACUCUAUGCUUUGUCACCUAUUAUACCAUUUUUCAGAUCAAGAGUGUAUGAUUCUUUGUUGAAAUCAAAUUAUAAAUGACAUUUACAUCAGACUUAACCCUGCAUAUUUUCAACAAAAAUAUUGCAGACUCCCAUUGGAGAGGACACUUAUCAUAGAAUGAGUAUUUGUUGAGGAUUUACUCUUUAUCAGGCACGGGGCCUUCUUUCAACCCUCACACCACCCCUUGAGUGAGGUUCUGUUGUUGUCCCCAAUGAUAUGGAAGAGGAAAGAGAGGCAGAGAGCCUUUAUGAAGUGUGCCCUAGGCCCCUCAGCUUACGGAGGGGUGGGCCUGGAAUUAAACCUACUCUUUCAACCACUGUACAAUAAGAAUUUUCUCUUGAUUAAAGUAUUCAAUGAACUCAUCUUUCCAUUUUCUUAGUCAUAGGCCAAGGAGAGUCAUAUGCUUUCGUCCCACCUGUACUAUUAAGCAUGAAUUACAGGGUUUCUGGCUCCAUAGGGCAGACUGAAUGUAUCCAUUUAUAAUCGCUUCC
ensembl:lncRNA